ensembl:lncRNA
AAAAAACACAAAGAAUCCCUCGAGUUCACGUUAUCAGUCUGUCAGCACAGGACUCUGUAACAUGCGAUCCUGUAACAGUCAACAAAGUCCUCGCAUGCAGACAAAACCCUUGUGUUAGCAGCUGCAUGUGGGCCGAAGAGUGUAGUUUCCACUCAAAGCUCGUGUUGAUUGGAGGCUACAGAGUGUACAACAUCAGCUGCCGGUGGUGAGGGCUGAGAUGUGUAUCUGGCUAACAAGACUCUACAUGUAGAGGCAUUUCACAGAACGACUCUGUGCUCGUCCACUUCUGUAUUUGAAAUUAAUCUUUUCCAGACCGCGACUGUUUUGUUGUCACCGUCGGUUUUAGCCCUAAAGCGAUUACACUCGUCUGUAACAGCUGCUUUUUCUUUGUCAUCACCAGCCCACACUUUAUUUUAGCGUCUGUAUGUGCGAGCUGGUGUUAAGCCCGUGUGAGGGCUGUGGAUGUGUUUUCCUGCAGCAGCCAUGAUGCACAUCUGUGAUCCGGGGAGAUGUUUUUGUCAGUUGUUGUUGCUACCCCUCACGCACGUAGCUUUUUUUUUUUUUUUUUUUUUUUGCAGUGGAUUAAAAGCUUUGGACAAAAGCAGACCGGGACAAAAAAAACCUGGGACGGCCUGCAUUUCCUGUUACCAAAUGCAUUCCAAAACCAGCGACCCCCACGCGAGCUGGCGGGGGAACCAACGAAAAAGGGAAUAGAAAAAACCAGCCUGUGUGAAAUCGCAGUUUCUUUUAUCCUUCCUCUUUUGUCAGCAUCUAUAUUAAACCACCUCCUACAUUUACUCUUCCUUUGCUGCCUUUCUUAACUUAUUGACAUUUUGAAUUGGACAGCGUCAGUAUUUCUUCUACACAAAGAGAACAUUUAACUGUGACAGCACGGCAAAUUAUUUUUAGCUCAUUCAACUGAUGCAUCCUCUGCCUGCUGAAUGAGCAAAGCAUUCUGGGGGUUUCUCAAAGCGGGAGAAUUGCAAGGUGAGCACGCCGAGAGGCGGUCAUGAAGCAAAGCGUGGACACCCCCUUAACCCCGACCACUCUAACCCUCGUGCUAAAGCCGGGGUGUCACCUCCCUUCCCCUCACGGAGCAGCAGCAGCAGCUGGCUGACCCGUCCCUCCACUGCAGCCUCUAAUGGCUGACCUGCCCUGUCUGGCCGGCCUCUGCUUGCUUUUGUGCGCCGUCUGCCUCAGUUCCUCCCCACUCAAACACUGCUGACGAGCCCCGUAUUCCCACAGAGCAAGCUGAGGUGAAGAAAAAGGAAUAUCCAGACAGACAGACAGACACGCAGACGCUUCACAAUUUGCACACUUUGUCCCGCACACAUAAUCCCUCUGCCCCCCCUAACACACACACACACACACACACACACACACACACACACACACACACACACACACACACACACACACACACACACAGCCUCUGUCUGCUUUCACAGUUUUGGACGAACCGUACCAAGCACCAGGUAAAGAGUGCUGCUUUAGCUGGAAAUGAAAACAUUUCUUUCUCUUGUUUUUACUAGUUUAACAAAUGUUUAAAUAAAAUAGCAGCUGUUAGUUUGAGUGAGAUUUUGAAUGGACUCAUGCUCCAAUUUGAAAGUACAGCAGAAAGAGUGAAAACAUGCUUGAAUCCGUCACGCUGGAAUUGAAAAAGACAGACGAAGAGUUCAAAUACUUACGUCAAGUGCGACCAAAAGUUCAGCGGCAGCGUGAAACUGUGGCGACGUUAGGAGGGAAAAAUCAAACGCGAGAGCAAAAAGCUUCCAUAUGUGAGGAGAAAGCUCGUUUAGACGGGCUGAGAAUUCACUGCUGAAAUGAGUUGAACGGGUUCCUCUCGCUCACUGUCUGCAUGUCUCUCCCACACACACACACACACACUCCUGACACGCAGUCUUUCAGCGUGAUCUCUCUGCCUCUAGUGGGAACUCAGCCAGUAGUUUGCAAAUACAAGUGCCUUACAAAUCUCUCCCCCUCUCUCACCCUCCCUACCUCCCGUUCCUUCCGUGCUUUUACACAGAUAAACAAGCACAUGCAUUCCCACAUGCAUGCACCCCCCACUUCCUUCACACACACACGCGCACACACAAGUCUGGCGACG